GGCAGGGUAGAUCAGCGGGAGAUCGCCCGACGUGUACAGCCGGGAGGCACGCCGGUUCGAAUCCGGCCCCUGCCG
rnacentral:tRNA from 1 species